rnacentral:ncRNA from 1 species
AGGAGCCGUAUGAGAUGAAAAUCUCAUGUACGGUUAUGUAGAGCGGUGGGAAGGAUAACUUAUCUAAU